ACUGCCUCUAGAGGCAUUGCAGGUGUGGCUGUUGUGUUAUAUAUGUGUCAGUAGGCAGCCAAGAGGACAAAGGCUGUCCCUAUAUCAGUGUUCCAACUGGGGAACAUCUAAAGGAUCAAUAGCCAAACACU